rnacentral:rRNA from 1 species
GGUGAACGCUGGCGGCGUGCUUAUGACAUGCAAGUCGAACGGCAGUCUUCGGACUGUAGUGGCGCACGGGUGAGUAACGCGUAACUGACCUACCCCAAAGUCGCGGAUAACGAUUCGAAAGAAUCGCUAAUACGUGAUGUGCUGUCAGAUUGUGUUCUGCCAGUAAAGAUUGAUUGCUUUGGGAUGGGGUUGCGUUCCAUCAGCUAGUUGGUGGGGUAAAGGCCCACCAAGGCGACGACGGAUAGCCGGCCUGAGAGGGUGGCCGGCCACAGGGGCACUGAGAAACGGGUCCCACUCCUACGGGAGGCGGCAGUUAGGAAUCUUCCACAAUGGGCGAGAGCCUGAUGGAGCGACGCCGCGUGAGGGAUGAAGGUCUUCGGAUCGUAAACCUCUGAAUCAGGGACGAAAGACACUUCGGUGGGAUGACGGUACCUGAGUAAUAGCACCGGCUAACUCCGUGCCAGCAGCCGCAGUAACAC